AGUGAACGCUGGCGGUAGGCCUAACACAUGCAAGUCGAACGGCAGCACAGUAAGAGCUUGCUCUUACGGGUGGCGAGUGGCGGACGGGUGAGGAAUACAUCGGAAUCUACUUUUUCGUGGGGGAUAACGUAGGGAAACUUACGCUAAUACCGCAUACGACCUACGGGUGAAAGCAGGGGAUCUUCGGACCUUGCGCGAUUGAAUGAGCCGAUGUCGGAUUAGCUAGUUGGCGGGGUAAAGGCCCACCAAGGCGACGAUCCGUAGCUGGUCUGAGAGGAUGAUCAGCCACACUGGAACUGAGACACGGUCCAGACUCCUACGGGAGGCAGCAGUGGGGAAUAUUGGACAAUGGGCGCAAGCCUGAUCCAGCCAUACCGCGUGGGUGAAGAAGGCCUGCGGGUUGUAAAGCUCUUUUGUUGGGAAAGAAAAGCAGCAGGUUAAUACCCCGCUGUUCUGACGGUACCCAAAGAAUAAGCACCGGCUAACUUCGU
rnacentral:rRNA from 1 species